AAACAAUUUUUUUUUUUACAAAAAUUCAUUUUUUCAGUUGAAAACAAAAAAAUUCUUUUUCUCUGUUUUUCAAAAACCCGAUAUCCCCUCCCCCUUUUGAAACGCCGGUCACAUGGCACCACCGUCGACGCGCCGUUGCCAUGGCUAGUGGCGGACGACUAAAGAAAUGGGCCUCUCGGCCUUGGCUUCGCAGCGCAAGAAGGUUGGGUCUUCAACCCGAGGGACUGAAGAGACUUUAGAUCCCGUUUAAGGCCCGAUUCCGACGACGGCGGAAGGGCCUCCGUCGACUGAGCCACGGGCGGUUCAGGUAUACUUCUUUCCCUCUUUUCCCCUUUUUUAUUUUCGUUACAAAUGAGUAAAAAUAAAUAAAAAUAAAAUAAAAUAAGAACACAAGAACAGGAAAAAUAGAAUCAACCUUUUAUUUUAAAUCUUUGAUCUGCUUUUUUUAUUAAACUGUUGUAAAAAAAAAAAAAGAACCCCUUACAAUUCGUUUGAAUGGCCUUUAUAUAGCCAUUUUUACACAAUUUAUUUUAUUAUUGUUUCUACUGUUUUGUCCUUCUUUGCUUGCGUGUUCUCCUUUGUUUUGCAGGUGGAGCAGGUUGGUGCAAGUGGGCGAAACAGUGGCGGUGGCAGAGGGUAGGUGACGGCGGCGGCAGUAGCAGAAAGAUCAGAAGAGGUGGCUAGGGUUAGGGGGAUUAGGGUUUCUGAAAUGAUUUUAAAAUUUUGGGGCCACUGGGCCUUGUAAUUGGGUCUGCUGGUAUGGGUUAGUGUUUAGGUGGGUUAUUGGGUCAGCCUGAGCCUUAGGCAAAAUUGGGCCUGGGUAGGUUUUGUUUUUGUUUGGGUUAUGGGUUGUAAUGGGUUAGGUCAAAAUUGGCCUGUACAUUCACAAUAGCAAACUUAUCAGGAACCCUAACACAAAUUUUUUUUUUUCCUUUUGAUGCCAUUUAUGCCAGAAUUCAACUGAAUUUUAAUUUGAUAAUCUAAUGAAGCAUUUACUAGUAGGGAAGUGUAAAGAAAUUAUUAUCCAGUUAACCCAAAAUUUCCCUGGAAAACAGCCAAGGAACAAGAAAGUAGGCAACAGUAAAUCAAGAAAAAAGUACUUAAUUAUAAAGUUCCAGAAGAAGAUAAAAUUUCUAAAAGGCAGUUGCACAAUCAAAAUUAUGUUAUUUUAACACAAAACCAAGCCUAAGAUUAACGAGUGGCAAGUAAAACUAAGAUAUAAAAGAACUUACUUUUCAGGGGAUAACGCAGAACCAGC
rnacentral:lncRNA from 1 species